ensembl:snoRNA
UGCCCCUGGCAAUGAGCAAAGGAUCACCUUGCUGGUGGUGGUGUUCUUAAUUCAGUCAGGGGCAGAGCAGAUGGCAGUCCUGAUAUCAUUCUAACUUGAUGCCUGUCUUAGUGGCCAAAGCUGUUUUAUGUCUGGGACAUAUUA